CGCGGGGCGUGCCGGGAAGACGCGGAUGUUGCGGACGCCGCGGGAGCUGGCGUCAUGGUUGUGCUGGGCUUCAACUCGUUGCUGAGUCAUAUCCCGGCCACAGCGUGGAGAGCGGCAAGAUCACCCAUUCUGUGUCAUUCUUUGAGGAAAAUAAGUUCUCAAGGAGAAAAAUCCAAACCCAUCAAACAACCCCUUAAGAAGCCAAAGUUACCAGAAGGUCGUUUUGAUGCACCAGAAGAUUCCAAUUUAGAGAAAGAACCACUGACAAAAUUUCCAGAUGAUGUUAAUCCUGUUACCAAAGAAAGAGGUGGACCCAGGGGCCCAGAACCUACCCGAUAUGGAGAUUGGGAACGAAAAGGACGCUGUAUUGAUUUUUAAGCCACAUAUUCGUUAACUUCACCAGAUCACUUGGGUUCAGAUCCCAGCUCCACUACUUACUAGCUUAUGUGACCUUGGGCGCGCGGGCCUCUCACUGUUGUGGCCUCUCCCGUUGCGGAGCACAGGCUCCGGACGCGCAGGAUCAGCGGCCAUGGCUCACGGGACCAGCCGCUCCGCGGCAUGUGGGAUCUUCCUGGACCGGGGUACGAACCCGUGUCCCCUGCAUCGGCAGGCGGACUCUCAACCGCUGCACCACCAGGGAAGCCCGGUUUCUAAUGUUGAUAAGAGACAAGUAGCAAAAAGUUCCCCUUGGGUUGCAGGGGCAUGGGAUUAGAAAAGGUAGGCGGCGGUUAAGGAAGACGAAGUGGGGCAGGUCUAGCCAGGGUGCAGCCCAAGGGGAGACAGGAGGGCUGGGAGGCUUUAACCCAGAAACAAGCUUGGUCACAAAACGUCUGAGACCGGUCCUGGUUUUAGCGUAAUUUUUAUAAGGAUGUAAGCUGAGCCACAGGCAUGGCCCUCAUGUCCUGCACAUGAACCAAGAACUUCAGGCUAUGUAAGGCUGACCCCACGUACUUUUAGAACCAUUAAAUUCACUUAAACUGCCCACAUUAUUUACAUUUAACCUUUAUUGAGGAAAUCUAAAGAGAAUUACUAGAAAUGGGGAUCGGCUUCAGCAAGUGCCAAAAUAACAGAACAAAACUCAUUACCACGUUCAGAUACUUUGCAAAAUUUAUACGAGUAAUUAAGAUGUAAAAGGCAAGAAGAGUUUCAGACAAGAAUAACGUUGACAUUUUCAGACGCGCUGCCGAAGCGAAGCUCCUCACCUGGCACCGAGCAGGCUGGCUUGCAUGAUCAGCAGUGAGGGGUGAGCUGUUGAGGACGGCCUGCCAGGGCCCCCGCCACCUGCCAGGCCCCUCCGCUGCAGGCCCGCAGGCAGGCCUUGUCUCCACUCGGGUCGGGUCACCGAAAAGAUGCUUCAGCGUGAAAUGUCAUAGCUGUUUCAGUCAUUGAAAUGCGAGAUAGUUCCCGCUUUUCUUCACAGUGGACAUACUAGAUAAAUCUUUCAGGGCACACUCAGAACCAGUUCAACACCUACAUAUCAUGGUUUAAUUUAAGCCCUCUCCUGAAAUUUGCUUUUCCCCGGUCUUUCCCCACUACACUCUCCGAUACUCCUCACAUUCGAGUCACUCCCGAAGGCCCCCACGGUCCUUACUGGUCACAGUUGAAGGUAUUAAGGGGCGAGUUAGCAUGUGUAGCUCAUUAAAAGGUGUUAAUUAUUUUUAAAAAUUUAUUUAUUUUGGGGCUGUGUUGGGUCUUUGUUGCUGCGCGCGGGCUUCUCAUUGUGGUGGCUUCUCUUGUUGUGGAGCAUGGGCUCUAGGCACAGGGGCUGCACUAGUUGUGGCUCGUGGGCUCUAGAGCGCAGGCUUAGUAGCUGUGGUGCAUGGGCUUAGUGGCUCCGCGGCAUGUGGGAUCUUCCCGGACCAGGGCUCGAACACCAUGUUCCUUUCAUUGGCAGGUGGAUUUUUAACCACUGCAACACCAGGGAAGUCUCGGUGUUACUUACUUUUCAUGCAUUCAUUGCUACUGGGUAUUAAGCAGUCCCCUGUGGAAAGUGACCAGACAUGUCAUCUUUGUUAUUGUUGCUUAAGCUCUUAUUUGGAAGUUUUCAAAAUACACAAAAGUAGAAAGAAUAAUACAGUGUGUCCCCCAUGUACCCAUCGCUCAAGUUUAACAGUUAUUGAUAUUUAUCAAAAGCUAUUAAUUUUGUUUCAUUAUCCCUUUACACUUUUUCUCCCCUCUGAGAUAUUUUAUGGCAGACAACUUCAGACUGAAUGUGUAGUUUUUAUAUAGAGGAGUUAAGCAGGUUUCAGAGGAUUUCAGAGAAUGGGUCCCUGGCUGAGCAGCCAGUCUAGCUGGGGAGUGACACGGGUAUAUCAGCGUGAAGGAGGCAUGAGCCCAGGGCUAGGGUAGCAAAAAAUCGAUGGAUGUUUUUAAAUAUAUCUUUUCUGAGAAAGAAACAAUUGAUCUUGACUGCAAACCAAAAAAACGGUCUUGUUCUUUUAAGGUUUUGUUUCACCUACAGUAUAGGAAGAUUGUGCUUAUAUUCACUUCAAGAUAUUUAUUUUAGACGUAACAUACUUACAGUUACACUGGGUUUAAACAUCCUGUUGUAAGCAUGAUGGUAGCCCAUUGGCUCUCUGUUUUAUAGCCUGCUCUUAAAGACCAUGACAAUGAUUUCGCAAAUUUUAGAAAAUACAUUAAAAAGUUUCAUCAUCGCUUACAUUCAGGAAAAUCAUUAUUAUGGGUUCAGUUCUCUUUGAUUAUAUAGUAUAUUUCCAUCUCUUUUCCUUUGGGAAAGUGGCAGUUAAAGUCUUUGGGGCUGUUGUGUUACUUACGAGAGGCUCUGUUUCCAAAUCCUCAGCACGCGUCGUUCAGGAUAGUCCCCCGUCUGCCUUUGAAUGUGAAUGUAACCCGGCGAAUGCGUCCCUCUCGCGCGGGCGUGUCCGGCAGAGGGGGUGUGUCCAGCGCCCUGUGUGGCUCAGCCCUCGGUGCAGAGGCGUCCUCCCUGCUGUGGCUCACAGCCCGUCCGCGCCUCCGGCGCCCGCCGCCCCCUGGGGGUUAGUGAGGGCGCGGCCGGGGAGCGCCGACCCCUCCUGCAUCUCGGCGUCCUUAGCCCUCCGUGGCUCGAGCCGGCCUCUCCCGCGGGCGCGGGUGACUGAGGCUGUGGUCGGGAUGGCCCAGGACGGGGAGCAGCGCCACGCUGACGUCAUCUGUUGCUCAGGAAAAAAUCCACUGGGCUUUGUUCUCAGGUUACUGUUUCCCUUCAUUGUGGUGGCCUCGGCAGUCCAGUAAGGCGAGGCCAGGAUUGUGUUCUUAGGGUCUUUUUCUGCUCUUUGAGGGGGACUCAACCCGACCACCUCUGAAGGAGAGGGGAGGAGCGCGCAGGCUUUGUGUUCAGUUAGUACAUUCCGGUGCCCAGCUCCAAAAUGCGGCCCGGAGGAAACCCCCCGGGGGGAUGCAGGGAGGAUACCGGACGAAAUGCCGAGCCCACCGUCUGGAAAGCUGCGUUUGUUUCCUCGGGCGGCCAUAACAAGCAGCACAGACUGGCUUAAAACAAUCGGAUUUUUUUUUUGACCGGGGGGGAGGGGGAGGGUACGCUGGGAACACAGUAGGAUUUAUGCUCUCCAGUUCUGCGGGCUGGAAGCCUGAAGUCCAGGUGUCAGCAGAGCCACCCUCCCUCUGAGACGCAGGCGCGCACCCUCCCUUGCCUCUUCCCAACUGCUGCUGGCACGCCGGCAGCCUCUGCCUUCGUGGUCACCUAGCGCUCUCCUCGUGUGUCUCUGGUUUCACAAGGCCAUCUUCUUGUAAGGACACCAGUCAUGUUGGAUUAGGGGCGCACCCUCCUCCGGUACGACCUCAUCUGGACAGAUGACACCUUUUUUCCAAAUAAGCGCACAUUCUGAGGUAUCAGGGGUUAGGACGUCACCAUGUCAUUUUAGGGGAAACACAUUUCACCCGUAAGAAGAGCACAAGGUACCAGUACCGACCUGGUGCGAAGGAGGUGCCAGCGGCCUUGGACUAGGCCCGGCGAGCCGGCGGCACGCGGACUAGCCUCGGUAUCAGCCGGCUGAGGACCGGAGGCUCUGCCCGACUGCCUAGGCUGUGCGCGUCUAGAGACACUCACACAGCCCAGGACACUUGCACAACCCCACUGCAUACCUCCCACGGCAGAGGACUGUGCUAGCGUUUCCGGGGGGGGUGGGGGACGUGGAGACGCCGCCCUCGAGCGCCGGGGAGCGGGGGGCGGUCCGGACCCUCGCACUGGACGUGCGCGUUCUCGGCGCUCCCCGGGCCGUCCCCACUUCCCGCCACUUCCUGCCACCGCCUGCUUCUCUCCAGGUGCCUCAUUGUCUCACUCGCUGUCCACGGUUGCUGCUACUCUCCUUUGAUUUUGCCGUUCGAAACUUUUAUGGGUUGUGUACACAUAGACAAAAAAAACAGGGUCACUUCCUGGUCAAAGGUGCCACCUCUUCCUGGUCGGCAGGCUUAGUGAUAAAACAUGUUGCAGUGACGGUUUUUCUUUAAUACACCCUAUAUAAAAUGUGUAGGAAAGAGCCCGCUCCCCUGCCAGACGCUAUAAGCAGCAGGGGAGGGGUAGAAAAACACUCCUCAGUCAGCCCCUGGGGGUUGAGAAUAUGGGAGGUUGGAUGUUUUUUCUUCCAGUUACAUAAAAUCACAGAAGUGCCCCAUUUCUGCUCAAAUUCAUUUGAGAUAUCACCGCUCUGACUUUUCCUUAGUUGAAAAACUAAUAUCUGUCUGCAGUUUUUUAAAUCGCAUAAAUAGCAACCUCCCACUCAGAGACAAACUGGAAACCUCUGUACACUGUUCUCUAAUCAAAGCAUCUUCACCCCAGUGGCACAGAGGGGGAAAAAAAUCCAAGAAAUAAGGUACAUCGGGCAAACUAUGAAAUCAUAAAAAUAUUAUGUAAAAGCAUUUUAGUUAUAUUUGAUAAUAGAACUAAUUUAGCAAUAAAAUUGCAAAACCACUUGAUUUAUUGAAUACUUUAAAAAAAAGUUCUCCUUUAAAACAAUGAGAAGGUAUGGCUGUAGGAAAUUGCCCUGCACCUUCCCUUAGUAGAAAUCAUUAAGGCGGUUUUAACCAUCUGAAUGCAGGAUCAUUUUACAAAGAGGAAGUCUAUUUUAUAGUUAUAAAAUUUCACAUAGAUAAAAUUUGUCUUCAGGGCUGUGCGUGUUUGUGAUCCGUUGCCUGAAUUACACCUGCAGCAGCCCAGGGAAAAUGACUGAUUCACCGACUCAUUCCUCUAAAGCUUUAUCAGCCAUAACCUAUUAAAAUGUAAACGAGGCCAGUGGGAACCAGAGGACAGAUUCUGUUGAACUGGGAGCAGUGCCUUGAGUCUGCCGUCGCAGGUGGACCAGCAAGGCGCAGAUGGCAUCUCUUAGGAAUGGGACUCUGGGUCUGAGGAAGGGUGUGGGUGAAGGUAAGAUGCUUAUCUUGGAAUCACGGCUGUUAGAUCCUGACCACAGGCUGUCGAUCUCGAAAGUGCCCAGAACUGAUCUCGGGUGCAGCCUUGUCAGCAGAGGUGCAGAGCCUAGUGAGAGCACGGGCUGAGGUCGCCCUGCUGCUCAGAAGCUCCAGGGCCAGGACUGAGGUGUCCUCACCCCCCAGUCAGUGCUCAGAACCUCCUCCCACCCCGACCCCAUUGCCGCUCUUGAAACUAACUUUCAAAUGUCACUAACUUAGAAGAGCAGGUUUCCGGUUUGAAUUUGUUUUAUUGGAGGAGUCUAUGGUAGAUCGUUAAUGUAAUAUUUUCGUCCACAUUUAGCCAUUUCAAAGAUUAACAUAUGGCAUAGAUGAAACUGACAGUCAAGCAGAUACCUUCUUAACUUUAGAAAUGAGUUGCUAACCUCCAUUUCAAAAUUCUCAGGAAACCUACUUGCUUUCUUAACUGCUUAGAGGACUUUAAAGGGAGGCCCUCAAGCACAGUGUUCUCUGCCUACCUGCCUGAGUCUGCUGUCCUGGCCUUCAGCAUCUGGGUGACACUGUCAGCACUUCCGCUGCCCUUUGCAGCAGCAGCGGUGGCUGUCAGCCUGAAUUCACCCCCCCGCACACCCAUCACCCUCAGAAAGCCUGGGAGCGUGUGUCACUCUAACACCAGGGAGCACAGGCAUCGACAGUCUAGUGGCCUAGUUACAUGUCAUUUCCAUCUAGUUUAUCAGUUACUUCUUGGUUUUAAAAGUAUGGAUACAAACUAAAUUACAUUUUGGUAAUUGUUUUUUAUGAAACCAUCCAUUUUCCUUUAUUUAUUUAACUGUCAUUACUACUAAGCAAAACAAAAACAAAAAACGCAGUACACGUUACAUUUUGUUAGGUCAAACCAAGUUGUUAACAGGGUGAAGAGUCAGUAUACAGAAUAUUCAGUGAAAAUCACACGAAGCCACUCUAAAAAAUGUCAUUGCUUUUAUGUGGAAUCUAGAAAAAUGGUACAGAUGAACUUAUUUGCAAAGCAGAAACAGAGACACAGAUGUAGAGAACAAACUUACAGAUAGCAAGCGAGGCGGGGGGCGGGGGGUAGGAUGCACUGGGAGAUUGGGACUGACACAUAUACACUACUAUAUAUAAAAUAGACAACUAAUGAGACCCUACUGUACAGCACAGGGAACUCUACUCAGUGCUCUGUGGUGACAUAAAUGGGAAGGAAAUCCAAAAUAGAGGGGACAUAUGGAUACGUAGAGCUGGUCCACUUUGUUAUACAGCAGAAGCUAACACACCAUUGUAAAGCAACCAUAUUCCAAUAAAAAUUUUAGAAAAUGUCAUCGCUGCCAAGCCACGUGUGGUUCGCAUUCCUGAGAACAGGUAGCUGGUGAGAGUGGAGGACAAGCCCUCAUUCACCCUGGUGAUUUUGACGGUGACUGAGCAGUUGCAAACCUUUCCACUCCUCCCUUCGGCCUCUGGGCGGCCAUCCCAAGGGAGGAAGGACAGGGACAGGUGAGGGUCGCGGGAUGGCCUGAGACACUGCGGUGGGGACAGCACGUUCGAGCUUCCCCACGACGGCCGCCCGUCCCGAGGUGGUGACCGUGAGGGUGGACAGACUCUCCGUGGCGCGCGCGCACGGAGGCCCUCGGCCCUCGUGCUCAACGUCCGCGGGAACCUCCACCUCGUCCGCGUCGCAGGUGCCACGCGCUGUCCCAGGCGCAGGCUGGAGGGGGCGGCACGGGUGCCGGACGGUGGGGAGCUCGCCCUGUGGCCCGGCCCGCGGCUGCCUGCCCUCCUUCCCCAGGGGCACCCCAGCUCUCAUCGGAAGUCAGAACAGGACCCUGCCCGUGCAUGAUACACCCGAGACAGCCAAAGCCCACAAGGACCGUUAGCAGAUUAAAUCGUUUAUAUUCAUACUGAUGAUGUUCCGGAAGCUCUCUGCCUCAGAGGCGCUUGCAAAGCAGCUGUGACUAAAGGCGAACAGGCGCGACACGUGAGUCCUCCCUCCGUUCCUGCAGCCAGGAGCCCAGGCUCAUCACAUCCCUGGGAGAUGAGAUUUCUGAUCGAGGUGGACCGUCUGUCUUAAGGAAAUAAGUAACCUGAUGUAGAAGGAUCGUAGAGCUUGGCACCUGGCUCAGAGAGGGUGAGCGUAGGAGGCACAGGAUCUCGGCAGUCUCCCACCCUCCAGCGAGAGGAUAAAGGGACACAACCCACCAAAGCGACCUCCCUCCACUCAGCCGUCCUUCCUCAGGGGUCCAUGGCCGGGUCAGAGGGCUGACCUCUACCAGGCGGGGAAGACUUGUCCACCAGGAAGCUGCUGGCCUGUCCACAUCCCAGGGGGGCUUUCAGACAUUUGGCCUGGGUUCUAGUUUACGGAUUUUUUCCUGUGAUUGUGAAAUAGCCCUUUCCAAAUGAAAGAUUGACAUAUUUAUUUAUCUGCAGAACUGAUAGGAAGAACACCUUGCUGUUUCUGCACACGGGUUGGAAACUAUGCUUUCACUAGCGUUCGUGAAGAUGUUUUGAAGGAUCUCAAAUUUGAACAGCAAAUUACCAGUCCAAACCAGCACAUUCAUUAACUCCAAGCAGAAUUAAAUCUCAGUUUGUGAGAGUGGUAACAUUAGCUUGAAAACAGGAUACGCUAAAAUUAUAAAAAUCAAAAUAGACUGUCACUUUUACUUGGUUUGUACACAUUUUCUUAAAAUUACGAAAAGGAAUCCAUAGGAUAAUUCUCUCUACUAGCAAUAUACAUAUGUAUGCAUAUGUAACGCUCUCAAGCCAGCUUGGAUAGAUUUUAAAACGUUGUAUAUAUUCAUAUAUAUGUGUGCGUACGUUAUAUGUUAUUUUCCUAAACCUGAGCAGGGAAUUAUUCUUAGAGAAUAGGCUGGGGCAGGGAAAGAACAAGACGAGCCUGGAAAAUCUACUUUUGUCAGAAAGUAAGGCUGUGUCCAAAGACUAAUAAAGAGAAGAACACAGGCGCCAGCUUCAAAACAAAGGUCUCCCGCUGGCCAGAUGGAAACAUUUUGAGGAUAAAUGGUGAUCCGUGUUAUGCUGUGGCAAAAUACACUGUUGCCUCGGAGAACUCGGAAGGCAGAUGCUGUGUCUCUGGACUUGCGACUUUAGGGGAAGGGAUUGGUUAAUAUUUGCCACAUUUCACAAAUUACCACAAAAUGGAUGGGUUCAGAGACGACUGGCUGCUUCAUAAGCAGGAAGAAAAGGGAAUAGACAAUCCAGAAAUUCAGAACUUGUAGCAUUGAGAGAGGCAGCUGCUACUCAACUGCAAAUAAUAAAAGAUGAAAAUAAGAGAAGUACUAAGUUUGCAGCAAGGAUUAGACCAAGGAUAUGGCUGUCAAACCCAUGGUUUACAUCUCUAGAUGGAUAAAAUGGCACCCAGUAAUUUCUUUCAUUUGGAAAGAAGGGCUCAAGAAAAACAGACUGAAGAGAGUGGCUCUCUAGAACUCCCCAGUGUUAACAUCGUACCACAGCGACCUUAUCAUAUUCACUCUCUGCUAUCUCUCUCUUUCCCCAUAAGUGCAUGCACACACACGUAUCACUAUUGCACUUUCUGUACCCUUUGAGAGAGUAAAUUGCAGAUACGAUGCCUGUUAUCCCUAAUACUUUAGCAUUAAUCUAUGAAAACCCACAGCUAACAUCAUACUCAUGGUCAAAGGCUGAGUGCUUUCCCCCUAAGAUCAGGAGUAAGACCAGCAUGUCAGCUCUGCCCCUUCUAUUCUGCAUCGCCCCGGAAGUUCUAGACAGGGCAACUAAGCAAGAAAAAGAGAUAAAAGUCAUCCAACUUGGAAAGUAAGACAGUUAUCUCUGUUUGCUGAUGAUAUGAUCAUGUACAUGGAAAAUCUGAAGGAAUCUACUAAAAAACGAUGAGAACUAAUGAACAAGUCCAGCAAGGUUGAAGGCUACAGGAUCAAAAUACAAAAAACAAUUGUAUUUUUAUGUUAGCAAUGAACAAACCAAAAUGACAUCAAGGAAACACUUUUAUUUACAAUAGCAUCAAAGAGAAGAGAGUACUUAUGAAUAAAUUUUCGAAAGGAAGUGAAAACUGCUCUGAGAACUGCAAAACAUUGUUGAUAGAAACUAAGAAAGAUGUCAACAAAUGGAAAGACAUCCCCAUUCGUGCACUGGAAGACUUAAUGCUUUCAAUGUGGCAAUACCCCCCAAAUUGAUCUAUAGGUUCAAUACAAACUCUCUUAAAAUAUCAUCGGUCUUUUUUUAAUAAGUUGACAAGCUGAUUGCAAAAUCCCAGUGGAAAUGCAAGAGACCCAGACAAGCCAAAGCAACUAAAAAUAAGACAAAACAAAGUCGGAGGAUCCAUGCUUCCUGAUUUCAGAACUUACUAAAAGCUGCAGUAAUCAAGACUGUGGUACUGGCAUAAGGAUAGACAUAUAGAUCAAAGGGAUAGAAUUGAGAGUUCAGAAAUAACCCUCACAUGGUCAACUGAUUUCUGACAAUGAUAGCAAGACAAUUCAGUGGAGAAAGAAUCAUCUUUUCAAGAAAUGGUGCUGGAACAACUGGAUAUCCACACGCGAAAGAAUAAAGUUGUACCUGUUCCUUAUAACGUAUACAAAAAAUUAACUCAAAAUUGAUCACAGACCUAAAUGUAAGAGCUAAAACCAUUAAGCUCUUAGAAGAAAGCCUAGGAGUGCAUCUUCACGACCUUGGGUUAGGCAAUGAAUGGUUUCUUAGAUAUGACACCAAAAGGAAAGCUGGACUUCAUCAAAAUUUAAAACUUUUGUGUUUCAAAGGAAAACAUCGUGAAAGUAAAUGACACCCCACAGAAUGGGAAAAAAUAUUCGGAAUGCAUAUAUCUGGCAAAGGACUUAUGUCCAAAAUAUAUAAAAAACAACUUAACUCAAUAAUAAAAAUACAGGGAGCCCUGGUCCGGGAAGAUCGCACAUGCUGCGGAGCAACUCAGCCCGUGUGCCGCAACUACUGAGCCUGCGCUCUAGAGCCCGUGAGUCACGACUACUGAGCCCACGUGCCACAACUACUGAAACCCGCACGUGCUCCGCAACGAGAGCCCAUGCUCCGCAACGAGAGAAGCCACCACAGUGAGAAGCCCGCGUGCCGCAACAAAGAGUAGCCCCCGCUCGACGCAACUAGAGAAAGCCCACAUGCAACAAUGAAGACCCGACGCAGCCAAAAAUAAUAAAUAAAUCAAUUAAUUAAUUUAAAAAAACUCACCAUUAAAAAAAUUUACAAUAAUAAUAAAAAUACAAAUAGGCAAAGGAUCUUAAUGCACGUUUCUCCAAAGAACAUAUACAAAUGACCGAUGAGGAUGUGGAGAGAUGCUCAACAUCAUUGACCAUUACGGAAACACAAAUCAAAACCACAGUGAGACGACACUUCACAUAUACUGUGAUGGCUAUAGUAAAAAGUAGACAAUAGCAAGUGUUGGAGAGGAUAUGGAGAAAUUGCAAACCUCAUACACUUCUGUAGGAACGUAAAAUGGUGGAGCUGCUUUGAAAAAAUGUUCCUCAAAAUAGUAAACAGUUUAGCAUAAUUACCGUAUGACCCAGCAACUGAAAUGAAAGCAUGUCACACAAAAACUCUAAAUAAAUAGCCAUAGCAGCGUUCUUCAUAACAUAAUUGUUGUAUUUUAGAUCUCUGCUAAUUAGGCUAGCAAGCGUGGCACUUUGGUGUACUCUUAACUGAUUUCUAAGCAGGUAGAGCAUUUCUGUGUUUAUCACUUUUAUUUGUUUUGUUUUGUUUUCUCCAUGUCUUUUGCCCAGGCUUUCAUUUCAUUUCUGUUGAGGUGUCUUUUUCUUAUUGAUCUGUAUGUGAAGCAGAUCUUACUAAAAAAAUGAGCUGCGUUUGACAUGAUGGGUGGGGAGGUCUGAGAUUCAGGGAUCCACUUCAGUACUUGGCCCAGAGUUAAUGGUGAAAAAUCAUGAACAAAUGAGGAUAUCUGCUCUCACCACUUCUAUUUAACAAUUUAAAUAGUGGGCACAACUGCCCCCCAAAGUGGGAGCAACUCAAAUGUCCGAUUUGAUGAAUGGAUAGAUAUACUGUGGCAUAUACAGAAAUACUGAUACCUGCUACAGCGUGAAUGAGUCCUGAAAACACUAUCGUACAAGAAAGAAGCCAAUAACAGAAGGUCACGUUGUAGAGUUCCAUUUAUAUGAAAUGUCCAGAAUAAAAUCUACAGAGACAAACAUCAGCGUUGAAGGCUAGAAGGGAGAUUGGGGUGGUGGGGAGGAUGAGGUGUAUGUGCUCUUGGGUCUCUUCUUGGGGCGAUUGAAAGGUUCUAAGUUGAUUCUGAUGAUGGUGGUACAACUCUGUGACUAUACUGAACACCAUUUAAUUGUUUACGUUAACGGGUAAAUUAUAUGGUCGUGGGUUUUUUAAAAGUAUGUGUUUAUUAAAGUGAAAAAAAAAUUUUAACACUGAAAUGUCCAACCAAUUACAGAGUUUAAGAUCUGUUGGCAUUUCUUUUUUAUUUUUACACUGAGGGUAAAAGACUGUGUUCAAAAUUACCUGGAUUCAUUUAUUUUUUUCUCUGAAGUUAUGUUUAUUUGAAAUACAACAAGGUUAAUUUGUUUCUGUUUAUAUUCAAUUUUAGAGUUGUAUCUGCAUCCUUACUGAUGUAAUUUUAGUUUUGAAUAUUUAAAACUUCUGUGUUUCCAGAAUAAAAACUGUAUAUGUUAUACCCAGAAAAGUGUUGCUCCCUCUCUUAUUCUUUCAACUUUGUUCCCACCCAAGUUCCAUGUAUCAUUAUGAUCAAUGUCAUUAGUUUCUUGUUAUCUUUCCUAAGUUUCUUUUUGGGAGAAGAUUUUUGAGAAGCAACGAAGUAAAACACGAAGCAGUAAAAACUGAAAACAUAAUAAAAUUGGAUGAUAGAACUAAGGUAAAAUGGAUAGACUCACUUAUUAAAGGAUAAUAAUAUCAAUUUCGAACUUCCCUGGUGGCACAGUGGUUAAGAAUCACCUGCCAAUGCAGGAACAUGGGUUCAAGCCCUGGUCCGGGGAGAUCCCACGUGCAGCAGGGAAACUAGGCCCAUGCGCCACAACUACUGAGCUUGCACUCUAGAGCCCGUGAGCCACAACUACGGAAGCCUGCACGCCUAGAGCUGGUGCUCCGCAACAAGAGAAGCCACCGCAACGAGAAGCCCGCGCACCGCAACGAAGACCCAAGGCAGCCAAAAAUAAAUAAGUAAAUAAAUUAAAUUUUUAAAAAAUCAAUUUAGAUUACAAAGCAAAACCUAAAACUAAGCACCAAGUAGGACACACACAUUAAAAAAGUGACUCAAUUUGAAAGUAAAAGAAUGGUCAAAGAUAUAUCAAACAAAUUCACACAAAAAGAAAAUAGAGACCCCAAUACUAUUAUCAGACAAGGUCGAAUCUAUAGAAAAAAACUUUAAACUAGACAAAGAAGGUGCCAUUACAAUGAUAAAAGGGUCCCCUGAAAAUGCAUGCACAUUGGCCCAGCAAUUCCGCCUUUAUUUAAGAUGUAUGUAAGGUUAUGACUGUGUUAUUGUUAUAAUAGCAAAAGGCUGAAUAUAGUCCACUACCCCCAAAUUUUGUCAUUAGGACUGGUUGAAUGAAUUGUAGUGUGGAAUACUGUGUAGCCCUGGAAGAUGAUGCCCUGCUAAGUGACAGCCUCCAGGAUAUGCUGUUAAGUGAAAAACGCAGGACACAGGACAGUGUGUGCAGCUCGCUCGAGCCUGUCUGCGGUCAUGGUCUGUGCCUGGACAGCCUCGGCCUGGGCUGCGGGGUGUCUGUCAUUUCUCUGCAGAGGAGGAGUGGGGAACGGAGCUCGAGGGGAGGAGGUAUUAAAAAUGGUUUUUUUUUUCAAAUAUUGAAAUAGGGUAAGAAAAUGCAAAUGGGCUAAGAAAGUGUACAGGUAUACCCAUAAAUAAGAUGGCAUAUAUACCUUCUUACCAUAUUUGAAUUCUUACCGUAUAUGCAUGUAUUGCCUUUUCAAUUAAAAAUAGCCCAUUUUAAAAGGCUUAAAAGAUGAAAAUCCCUUCCAGACCCAAAAUUCUAUUAUAUCAUCAUUAUGCAUUACACCGUUCAGUAAAGAAUCUUCAGGAAUCCACUGUGAAUUGAGGUGUGACCAUUAGAAAACGGUUGUUCAUGUGAUUUGAGACUUAGGUACUGCUGCGUAUUUUGUAAACCACGUGUUUAAUUUCGUCGCCAGAGGUUUGGAUGUCAGAAUGUACCACAGGGUAAGUCUGGUUAUUUCUUUCCAAGAUGAAGUGGAUUGUCUGCCAAGGCCAGCAUCUCGAAGCCCGUGGGAAAGUUUUAGAGGAACGCCCCCUUCCUCCACGCAGGGAAGGCAUCGAGGUGGAGUAGAAAGUCCCUUGCUGUGUGUUUCAGGCUGUUUGAAUCCUGGCUGACCGCUUCCUUUCCGUGUGUUCCUGAGCAAUUCACCUUGUCUCCUGCAAUCUAAGAUUCCUCCUACGGAAUGGGGGGCGGCUACUUCUGCCCCACUGGUCUCCUGGGGGGUUGCAGGGAACCAGUGAGGGAUGGAUAAGGAGAGACUGAUCACGUCUAAGGGGUUAUUUAUCAUGUCACUACUCAGCACCUGGAGGUCACAUUGGAAACACCCCCAAAAGGAAUAGCCCGAUACCCAGCUGUCAGCUUUCUGGAGUCAAGAAGACAGCCACCGUGGACCGGCUGGCUCAGAACACGUGGGGACAGCUGCUCACUGACGUGUGCACGUUGAAACUGUCCUGACACGUGCGAGGCGACUUCAGGGCCACGAGGCAGAAACACUCAGGCUAAGAUCGGAGGAACAGAAAGGACGGUGACCUCAGAGACUCACAGCUGUCGUGGCAAACCUCCCAUGCCAUCUUGCUUUGGGGAAAUUGCCAUUUCAAAGGCGGGUAAAGACGAGUGGGGAUCAAAAGGCAAUGUUAAUAACUCAGAACCCAGAUUAACGGUCGGGAGGGCCCUUUCCACACGUGAGCCCAAAGGAGAGGAAUGAAGGGAAAUUUUCCUCCAUCAGGUAAGGACUGCGGGUGGAUCAGAGUCGGCCCGGCCCAGUUCCGAGGGCCCCGCUCAGAGACAGGAAGGGGGACACACGUGUGCCUUCCUGUGCAGUUGGCAGGUGGGCACUCACACACACACCCGUGUCUCCAAAAAGGACCCAAUUACCGAGGUAUUAGUAUGGCAAAAGGUAUUGCGUAAUAAGUCAGCACAUGCAUUUAGAACGGUCUAAAAGUCAUUUAUUGGAAAGAACAAGCCCAGUUUCAAACGGUCAUUUUAUUACCAUCUUAUGCCGAAGGUUAUCAUUUGUCUUUUUUAUAUUUUCUUUUAUAUCCGAUUUAAUAUUUUUAUGAGACAACUUGAAUAAUAAAUCAUAAGAUAUGUCUUUAUUAUUAUUAUUUUUGCGGUACGCGGGCCUCUUACUGCUGUGGCCUCUACCAUUGCGGAGCACAGGCUCCGGACGCGCAGGCUCAGCGGCCAUGGCUCACGGGCCCAGCCGCUCCGCGGCAUGUGGGAUCUUCCCGGACCGGGGCACGAACCCGCGUCCGCCUGCAUCAGCAGGCGGACUCUCAACCACUGCACCCCCAGGGAAGCCCAUGUCUUAAUUAUUUUUGACCUUUCUGAGUUUUCUCACUUCUCUGCUGUUCCUAUAACAAUUUCAUCAGCAAGAAGAAAUUAAACAGAGGUUUUAAAAGAGAUGUUUCUGUGUGAUGCAGGCUCAGGAAGACUUACUAGAAAAGGAACUUGUGUUAAAAAGAAAGUGGGGACUGGAUAUUAGUGGCUGAUGAGCUUAGUACGCACCACAGAAUGAUAGAUGCUUAAAAAAAAAAGGCAAAAUAAACUUAGGUUCCAUUUAUGGAAAUAAAGUGCUCAGAGCACAGGAAAGUAGCAGUUCUGUUUUCUGCUGAUCAAACCACAACCGAGAUAAAGAGCUCAAUUUGGGGGAACACCAUCUAGGAGUGAUAUGGAGGAGGGCCUCCAGAACAGGGAGAAUCUGGCAACAGCCACGGGAGGGAGCACAGAAGGCACUGGGAGGAUUAGCCUGAGAAGAGAACAAGAGAGGGACACAGGACAAUAGUCUGAACUUAGACAGGGAGCCACCAAGUGGAAGAAAGUGUAAACUUGGGUUCUGUUCAUCCACAGAACUAGGGUCCCUAUGCAGAAAUCAGAGGGAGGCAUGUUAAUGGGGGUAAAUUAUCUAAAAUUAUGUUCUCGCAAGUAGAUCUCUCUGAGAAUGGAACGUGCUGUCUUGGAGAGUAGACGGUUCCCAACACUGAGGUGGAAGACGAAGGGACAUCUGGGGCUUCCCUGGUGGCACAGUGGUUAAGAAUCCGCCUGCCAAUGCAGGGGACCCGGGUUUGAGCCCUGGUCCGGGAAGAUCCCACAUGCCACGGAGCAACUAAGCCCGUGCGCCACAACUACUGAGCCUGCGCUCUAGAGCCCGCGAGCCACAACUACUGAGCCUGCGAGCCACAACUACUGAGCCCGCGUGCCUAGAGGCCAUGCUCCGCAACAAGAGAAGCCACCACAGUGAGAAGCCCAUGCACCGCAACGAAGAGUAGCACCCGCUCACCACAACUAGAGAAAGCCCGCGCACAGCAACAAAGACCCAACGCAGCCAAAAAUAAAUAAAUUAAAAAAAAAAUAAGAUGAAGGACGUCUGUCAGGCGCACGGGGAGCAGCGCCUUCUAACAGAAGGAGACUCGUGCAGGCUGGAAACGUCCUGGUCCAUCCUGCCGAGACCCGAGCCCCUACCACAGGGGCAAGAGCCCUAGAAACAGACUGGUGGGACUGAGGGACUGAAUUAUUUUGUUGUAAGUAACUGUAAUGUAACAAUCCUAUGAGGGAAGAGGGGACAACAUUGGAAAGUGCAGCCGAAGAGUCUAGAAGAAAUCCCUGCGUUGAGCUGGAGUGUGGACUAAACCACCCUAAGGGUUCCAAUCUGACCUCCUAAUGCUUCCCUCACCCCACUCCUCUAACACGAACUGGCUCGUGUCUCCUUGAACCCGCCGUGCUAUUUCAUGUUGGUGAAGGUUUUGUCUGCGUGGAACGCCCUCCUCCAGCGAGGUCUGCUUUUCCUCAUCCUUCCUCACAUUCUCAGUGACUCUUCUUCUGGAAGACCUUUCCCCCUCCCCCCAACACCUAACGUCUCCUGUGUCUGGGAAAUGUAUCUCUUAGUGAGGGCAUCAUGCAAUGUUCCAACCAUCCAUUGACAUCUCCCGCUCACCCCCUAGCUUGAGACUCCUAAGGGAAGGGCAGCUUCGUGUCUGCAGCAUCUUGGGCUCCCAUAGCUAUGCUGCUGAGCAGAGAUUGUGCGUGAACAUGCCUGACACUCCACCAAACACACGUAUUUACAAAAUGACACCCAGAAGUCUCCAUAUAAGGGGGGAUGUUACAACUUAUCAAUUACAGGUAAGGAUAAAGAAGUCGAGUUAGUAAAAUAAUUUGUCCAAGAGAGAACAAACUGGUGGUUGCCAAGGGGGAGGGGGUGGCG